ACAUCUUUAGCUGAAUUGGUACAGCAGUUGUUUUCGACGCAAUGGUUUACAGGUUCGAGUCCUGUAGGAUGUU
rnacentral:tRNA from 1 species